rnacentral:rRNA from 1 species
AACGAACGCUGGCGGCAUGCCUAACACAUGCAAGUCGAACGGACUGCUUCGGCAGUCAGUGGCGGACGGGUGAGUAACGCGUGGGAAUCUGCCCUGGGGUACGGAACAACGCCGGGAAACUGGCGCUAAUACCGUAUACGGCUUAAGAGCGAAAGAUUUAUCGCCCUGGGAUGAGCCCGCGUCGGAUUAGGUAGUUGGUGGGGUAAUGGCCUACCAAGCCUGCGAUCCGUAGCUGGUCUGAGAGGAUGAUCAGCCACACUGGGACUGAGACACGGCCCAGACUCCUACGGGAGGCAGCAGUGGGGAAUAUUGGACAAUGGGCGAAAGCCUGAUCCAGCAAUGCCGCGUGAGUGAUGAAGGCCUUAGGGUUGUAAAGCUCUUUCGGCGGGGAAGAUUAUGACUGUACCCGCAGAAGAAGCCCCGGCUAACUUCGUGCCAGCCGCCGCAGUAAGAC